AAAUGCAUGAGCGAGCUUUACUGUUGAGCGUUCCGCACAGGCGGAUUUGAACCCGGGCAUCAUAUUUACUCAACAGUUUCUGCACAUUAACUAGGAGAGACUCAUAAUAACUUUCUGACUCUCAUCUUGCAACAGUUAGUUAACCGCCACUCUUAGCUUAAUACCCACUGCUAAAGUACAGACAUUAGCCAGUCUAAAAUAAAUGCUAACUUUAGCUAGCUAGGCCAACUUUUUUUUACCUUUCCAGUGUGGAGUACACCGACCCAGGUCGAAUCCCUUCUCCGGUCUGGACCGGGACUUGAGUCCUUGACAGUCUUUGGAAAAGGAAAUUAAGGUUUUACCCAGUGGUUGAUGAAGUUCCUGAAGAGCACAGCAGGGGCAAAGGACCUUGCAGGGUUCAUCCCAGCACCAGUGUAGUACAUCUGAAACACAUUAUGAUGUCCAAUGGUGACAGAGAAGCCAAUGGAUAGGGCAGCAGAUCCCAGUCGUCCAUUUCUCCUCUCGUCAGUCACAGCAAAGAUGCAAAUCACAAGCUGCAUGGUGAGGAAAACCUCCACAGUGGUGCCCAUUCCCAGACUGAUACCAGGCUGCAGCUGGAGACACACAGAUACACCCAGAGAAAGUCAGACAGGCCACCAGCUUCUGACGAGACGCGCUGCGUGAAAAGAAGAACUCGUGGGAAACUCCAGCUAGAAUAGCACCAAGCACUGGUCCAAUCCAAUAAACCUGAAGCAAGCUGAGCAAGUCAGUCAAGACAUCUUCCACCCAGCAACAUUUUCUGGCUCCUUCUGAAGCAUUCCAAGGUCUCUGGCCUGGGUAUAUGAUCCUUCCAGUGAGUUCUGGGUCUGCCCUGAGCCCCC